rnacentral:rRNA from 1 species
ACGGAAGGCAGCAGUUGGGAAUAUUGGACAAUGGAGGAAACUCUGAUCCAGUGACGCCGCGUGAAGGAAGAAGGUCUUCGGAUUGUAAACUUAUUUUGUCAGGGACGAAAGAAAUGACUGUACCUGAAGAAAAAGGACCGGCUAACUACGUGCCAGCAGCCGCGGUAAUACGUAGGGUCCAAGCGUUAUCCGGAUUUACUGGGUGUAAAGGGCGAGUAGACGGCAUAGCAAGUCAGAUGUGAAAACUAGGAGCUCAACUCCAAGACUGCAUCUGAAACUGUUAAGCUAGAGUGCAGAAGGGGUAAGUGGAAUUCCUAGUGUAGCGGUGAAAUGCGUAGAUAUUAGGAAGAACACCAGUGGCGAAGGCGACUUACUGGGCUGCAACUGACGUUGAGGAGCGAAAGCGUGGGGAGCAAACAGGAUUAGAUACCCUGGUA